rnacentral:rRNA from 1 species
CCCCACUGCUAUCGAGGUGGGACUAAGCCAUGCCAGUCGAACGACCCGGACUAUGGCGGGGAGUGGCAGACUGCUCAGUAACACGUAGCUAACCUACCCUCGGGACGGGGAUAACCCCGGGAAACUGGGGCUAAUACCCGAUAGGUGUGGAUUCCUGGAAUGGUGCCAUGCCUAAACGUAAGCACAUCCAUGUUUGUGUGCACGCCCGAGGAUGGGGCUGCGGCCGAUCAGGCAGUUGGUGAGGUAACGGCUCACCAAACCUUUGACCGGUACGGGCCAUGAGAGUGGUAGCCCGGAGAUGGGCACUGAGACAAGGGCCCAGGCCCUACGGGGCGCAGCAGGCGCGAAACCUCCACAAUUCACGCAAGUGAGAUGGGGUUACCUCGAGUGCCAUCUGAAGAAGGUGGCUUUUCCAUGGUGUAAUGAGCCGUGGGAAUAAGGGGGGGGCAAGACUGGUGUCAGCCGCCGCGGUAACACCAGCCCCCCGAGUGGUGGGGAUGAUUAUUUGGCCUAAAGCGUCCGUAGCCAGCUCGGUAAAUCUCUCGUUAAAUCCAGCGUCCUAAGCGUUGGGCUGCGAGGGAAACUGCCGAACUAGAGGGUGGGAGAGGUCAGCGGUAUUCCUGGGGUAGGGGCGAAAUCCAUUGAUCCCAGGAGGACCACCAGUGGCGAAGGCUGCUGACUAGAACACGCCUGACGGUGAGGGACGAAAGCUGGGGUAGCGAAUCGGAUUAGAUACCCGAGUAGUCCCAGCCGUAAACGAUGCAGGCUAGGUGUUGGGUCGGCCAUGCGCCGCCUCAGUGCCACAGGGAAGCCAUUAAGCCUGCCGCCUGGGGAGUACGGCCGCAAGGCUGAAACUUAAAGGAAUUGGCGGGGGAGCACCACCAGGCGUGAAGCCUGCGGUUU